AGGGCUGACCAUUCGGCAGUGGACAAGCAGUUGGUGUGCUCUUCCUGGGCACAAAUCAAAAUUGACAUUCCUUGACCUGUGCUCCAAUUGGGGACUGUGAAGGACAUAAUAAGGGACUUGGGGUCCAGAUGACACAGCAUACAUUUGACAGUCACUGACUGCAGAACAGAAGACUAUAAGAGCUUCAUGAUGGAAGGAGAAAAUUCUUAUUCCCCAGACAGGCAUGAGAGGUCAAAGGUCACAAAACCACGAGGCACCGAAUACUGCCUAUACUCCAAACUGCUGCAUGACUGCUAAGGUUUUGCCAUCUAGAGGGCCCCUGAGAAAGUUUCCCAGCUUGUGGUGGUGAAGAUACAGUUCUUCCUCCUAAAGAUUUCCCUCUGAUGUCCAAGGUAGAGGUCCAAACCAGGACUUGUGAUAGGAGAAACUCUGGAUGUUAAUUAUCAAAGAAAAGAGAUGACAGCACCACACUAACCAACAAGUGGCAUUUGGUUCUGGUUGCCGAGAUGAUGAGAUGGAUGGUACACGGCUUUCAGGAGUCAGCCUGAGGGUGGACUCAGCCGCACAGGAGAUUCACGCUUCUCUCAAGAUCCAGUGACAGGAAUAUGGACAAGGAUGACACAGACAUUCCUUUGUAGUUCCUCAUUGCUAUUGGAAGAUGAAAUGGCUCCGUGAAGUCCUUGGACA
rnacentral:lncRNA from 1 species